AAUUUAGUCAAAGAGGCUAUGAUAUCUGAUAAAUAAAAGUAUGAUUAAAUAUUUAGAAUGACCUCUCAUAUUCGAUCUGCAUGUCAUUUUUUCGGACUAAGAUAAAUCACCUCAUAGAUAAAGUAUAUUAUACCACCAAAUCAUAGAAAACAAAAAUUUUUCAUGCAAAUCAAACUAUUUACUUUCGAUCACAUAAAUUUUUUUUUUCUAAUUUCAUACUGAAUAAAUUAUCAAAGACUUAUUAGAAAACAACCAAAUCCUUUAUCACUUGUUUUAGGGACAAUCAAUGAUACAUGAAUGUCUUAUUUUGCAUAUCUCUGUAGUUUACUUGAUAAAUAGUAGACCCUUUUUGAGUGCAUGAAUAGCUCGUUUGGUAUAUCUCUUUGAUUUACUCAAGUAACUUGUAGUACUUGGCAAAUGAGGAGUAUAAUCAAAUGUCUAAAAUGAAUAUCAUGAACCACCUUCUAGUAAUUUUAUUGGAAUAAGAAAAAUUAUCUCGUAAGUAAAAUAUGUAUUUUAUCAAAUCAUAAAUGUGAAGACUUUCGAAAGAAUAAAAAUCAAAUUCUUUGUUUCUUAUCACACAAGAAAAUCCCUAUAUCAGAAUAAGUUAUCUGAUGAUAACUUAUUCGGGCAUCCAAACAAGGCCUCAGUAAUUCAUAGAUGAAUACGUUGUGUAAUCAAAAAAGCCUAUAAAAUGGAUAUUUUCAGA
rnacentral:lncRNA from 1 species